rnacentral:lncRNA from 12 species
UAAAACUCACCAUCUGACCCCCACUAACCCCUCCUUCUUCUUCACAGAAAUGCUAACCUUAUCUUUUAUUUAUUCAUUUUUUUAAAGUAGCCUCCACACCCAGUGUGGAGCCCAGCGUGAAGGUUGAACUCACAAUCUCUGAGCUGAGAGCUGAGCUGAGAUCAAGAGUCGGAUACUUAGCUGCCUGAGCCACCCAGGCAUCCCUAACCUUAUCUUUUAGAGAUAAACCGCAGGAAGAGCCAAGAUAGUUUGAGCGCAACCACAUACAUACCUGCACAGAUGGACUGUGGCUUGUCAGACAGUUACCUCUAUUUCAUUGUAAUGUCAAAAUCUUUGCCCAAGGAGGAGCAUGAGCUUCAGUAAUGUAACAUAGGAUGCAUGUGUGGGCAUGUCUCCUGCCAGCUUUUACGUGUGGUGAGUAUAUGCCUCUUUCUGGAUAUUCAUCCUAACCCUAAAUAAAAGGAACCAUUCACCUUGGCUCAAGGAGCCAGGGCUUUGGAAGUUAUUCCCUAUGAUCUUUUUAUUUGCUGCAAAUAAAGUUUCCUCUGUGUGACAAGUUCACCUGGCAUAGUCUCUAUCUAUAAUUCACUAAGGAGUAAAAUUCACGUUAGUUCAGUUACACACCUAGUCUAGAUCCUUCUUCAAAUGAGCUAAUUGUGAAAAGAGAUCUUUGAGACAAUCUAGGACAUUUGAGUACAUACCUGGUAUCAACUGAUAUUAAAUAAUUCCUGUUAAUUUUGUUAAGUGCAAUAAUAGCGUGACUCUUGUUAAAAGAAAACCUGUAUUAAUGUGAGAUGCAUAAUGCGCAGGUGGUGAUGGGUGAUAUGCCAUGAUAUCUAAUAUUUGUUUUGACACGUCCCCCCCACACAGAAAUCACUGAGCCUUCGCUAUAUGUGGUUCCUAAGUGGGGUGUCUCUCGACUGGAAGGGGGGCGGUGAUCAGAUGGAAGCUCAUGGUGCAAGGGUGGAGGGGUGGUAAGAGAAUUCACCUGAGACAGAACAAAGGAGAUAGAAUUUUACUGAAUACAUCACAAGGAAGUGGCCAGCGGGACAGCAGAGGAGAGGUUGUCUGCAAGGAGGCAAGAUUGGCACCUGCUCCCCAGCUGUCACUUAUGGAUUUUCCAGAAAGAACCAGCCCUAGCAACCUGCCAUCAGAUGAGUCACUUAAGCAUUUGAAUCCAAUUUCUUUCUCAGGUAAAUGAGAGUAGCAUUCCUCCCUUCCUCCAUUCUUGGUGUGGUGCCAGGGCUGGGGGUAGGGGUGGGUGGGGGAAGGUUGCUGGGAUGAUCCAAUGAGACAUAACUCCUGAAUAUCCUUGACAAGAUAUAAGACCCUGCACAAAAGCUUGCAGUUGUAAUUAACAAAGAAAUGUCCAUAGGAGUUAGGAGGUAUACAUACAGCAACAGAUAAGUGUGUCUUUUUUUAUAACAAAUCUGUAUGUAGUAUGUGCCAAGCACUGUGCUGUAUACAGAUAAGAAAACAGGUGCUUACAAUCCAGAGUGAUGAGAUCUAUGGUAAUUCCAAGUCCCUUAUGAGAGUGCACAGAAAAUACCUCUAACCUAGACUAAGGGAGGUCAGAAAAGACCCCCGGAAAAGGUGCUGAGCAUAUGCAAGCCUGAGCCAAAAGACAGCCUGGAUGACAGUGGCUUCUGGGAACUGGGAACUGUUCAGUCUGGCUCUUAGACUAAAGUCAAGCAGCAGGGCUGGGGAAGUAGGUGGAGUCAUGAUUACAAAGGGUUUGGAAUAUUGGGGCACAAUGGAAGGGUUCUAAGAGUGACAUGAUCAGUUUUGUCUGAAAACCAUCUGGGGAAUAUUUGGGAAGGCUACUGGGAUAAGCUAGUUAAAAGUUAAUGACAGCAUGAUCUAAGAUAAUGCUGGAGGGUUGAAGAGAAGUGGAUGGAUUCAAGAGAUUUUAGGGGGGUAAAAUCAAUGACACUUGUUGUUUAAUUCAAUAUAGGGAUGGGAGUAGAAGGGACAAUGAAGGGUAAGACCCCCAAUUCUAGCUUGGAUGGAGGUGCCGUUCACUGAGAUCAGGAUUAUGGAAGAACAAAGAUCGCCAUAUAUAAAGAUGAUAAUUUCAAUGUGUGCAAUGAUUAAUUUUUAGGGUCUACAAAUUCCGUGUAGAGAUAUACGUAGUAUUUGGAUAUUCUGCUACUUGUUUCAUGAUGCUUGCUCCAGGAAGGGACAGGAUUACAGACUACGUGGUUCUCACAUGACUGCCAACUACACAUGGAAUAGAGGUCAGACACAAAGGCAAUGAGUAGGCUGACAGGUAAAUUUUUGUGUAUGGUCUGGCUCAAAUAAACGAGCUACACCAAUCA